rnacentral:rRNA from 1 species
AGAGUUUGAUCAUGGCUCAGAACGAACGCUGGCGGCAGGCUUAACACAUGCAAGUCGAGCGCGCCCUUCGGGGUGAGCGGCGGACGGGUGAGUAACGCGUGGGAACGUGCCCUCUUCUGCGGGAUAGCCUCUGGAAACGGAGAGUAAUACCGCAUACGCCCUUUUGGGGAAAGAUUUAUCGGAUGAGGAUCGGCCCGCGUUGGAUUAGGUAGUUGGUGGGGUAAUGGCCUACCAAGCCGACGAUCCAUAGCUGGUUUUAGAGGAUGAUCAGCCACACUGGGACUGAGACACGGCCCAGACUCCUACGGGAGGCAGCAGUGGGGAAUCUUAGACAAUGGGGGCAACCCUGAUCUAGCCAUGCCGCGUGAGUGACGAAGGUCUUAGGAUCGUAAAGCUCUUUCGCCUGUGAAGAUAAUGACGGUAGCAGGUAAAGAAACCCCGGCUAACUCCGUG